UAAAGUCAGAGCACAAGAGACUCUUAGCUUU
rnacentral:piRNA from 1 species